rnacentral:rRNA from 1 species
AUUGAACGCUGGCGGCAGGCCUAACACAUGCAAGUCGAACGGUAGCACAGAGAGCUUGCUCUCGGGUGACGAGUGGCGGACGGGUGAGUAACGUCUGGGAAACUGCCCGAUGGAGGGGGAUAACUACUGGAAACGGUAGCUAAUACCGCAUAACGUCGCAAGACCAAAGUGGGGGACCUUCGGGCCUCACACCAUCGGAUGUGCCCAGAUGGGAUUAGCUAGUCGGUGGGGUAAUGGCUCACCUAGGCGACGAUCCCUAGCUGGUCUGAGAGGAUGACCAGCCACACUGGAACUGAGAAACGCUCCAGACUCCUACGGGAGGCAGCAGUGGGGAAUAUUGCACAAUGGGCGCAAUCCUGAUGCAGCCAUGCCGCGUGUAUGAAGAAGGCCUUCGGGUUGUAAAGUACUUUCAGCGGGGAGGAAGGCGGUGAAGUUAAUAGCUUCACCGAUUGACGUUACCCGCAGAAGAAGCACCGGCUAACUCCGUGCCAGCCGCCGCAGUAA